CAUGUCUUUUUGUAUUUAAUUUAAAGUCUAAUCUGCCCACUGAUAUAAUUAUUAAAUGGCCGCAGUAUUUUAACUGUGCAAAGGUAGCAUAAUCAGUAGUCUUUUAAUUGAAGACUUGUAUGAAUGAUUGAACGAGAUAUAAACUGUCUUAAAAAAAAUAAUUUGAAUUUUAUUUUUUAGUCAAAAAGCUAAACUAAUUUUAAAAGACGAGAAGACCCUAUAGAUCUUUAUAAAAAUAUUAUUUAUUUUUUAAAGUUUAUAAUUUAAAUUUAUAUUUAUUUUUAUUUUAUUGGGGUGAUAUUGAAAUUUAAUUAACUUUCAUUAGUUGUUAAACAUUAAUUUAUGAUUUAUUGAUCCUUUAUUAUUGAUUAAAAAUUUAAGUUACCUUAGGGAUAACAGCGUAAUUAUUUUGGAGAGUUCUUAUUGAUAAAAUAGAUUGCGACCUCGAUGUUGGAUUAAGAUUAAUUCUGGGUGUAGCAGUUCAGAAUAUUAAGUCUGUUCGACUUUUAAUUUCU
rnacentral:rRNA from 1 species